rnacentral:rRNA from 1 species
GACGGAGGAUGCAAGUGUUAUCCGGAAUCACUGGGCGUAAAGCGUCUGUAGGUGGUUUAAAAAGUCUAUUGUUAAAAAUUGAAGCUUAACUUCAAAGAUGCAAUGGAAACUUUUAAACUUGAGUAUGGUAGGGGUAGAGGGAAUUUCCAGUGGAGCGGUGAAAUGCGUAGAUAUUGGAAAGACCACCAAUGGCGAAGGCACUCUACUGGGCCAUUACUGACACUGAGAGACGAAAGCUAGGGGAGCAAACAGG